GGAGAAGCUUUCAGGAGUGAACCCAGGCCAAGAAAUCUCAAUAUUUCUAUUUUCAACGACCAUAAGUAUCCCUGAAAUUCUGGGGAGUUCUUAGGUCUCCUCCCACCGGUAUCACUCUCCCAUUUAAUCUUCACAGUCUUCAACAUCAGAAGAAUGCACUUCCGAGAGACGCACCUCAGAGACAACCCUUUUAAGUGCUGGAUGAACCUAGACUGUGCUCACUGCAGUGGGUUCCAAAUAGUGCCAAAGGGCUAAGGGUUCUUGUCUAUCUCUUUAUGGUGGCCCCAACCUGCUUUUGAUGCUUCGUUAUCCUGGGAGAAGGAGAGGCAAAGAAAUGGCAAGUGAUGACAACUAAGGUAGCUGCAAGUGAGUGGCUGAGAGCCAGGCGGAGGAGCCUGGAGGAGUAAAUGGAAGCAGAAAGUUGUCAAGCAACUUGCUUUGGGUCUCACUGCCAAUAAUUGCUGGAGUCCAAACUUGAACGUAGCCCUGACCUUUUGUUUGUGGCUACUUGGUGGUAUUCACAUGAAGGCAACAGCAGAGAACUGAGUGUGAAGACCUGAGAAUAGGGCAGGGAGGAAUUGAUGAUUGUUUCCUCCAUUUUCCCCUGAAGACCUCUUCCCCAAAGUAAAGCAAAACAAAACAAAAA